UACGGGGGGUGCAAGCGUUAUUCGGAAUUACUGGGCGUAAAGCGCGCGUAGGCGGCCCUGUAAGUCAGGGGUGAAAUCCCACGGCUCAACCGUGGAACUGCCCUUGAAACUGCGGGGCUUGAAUCCUGGAGAGGGUGGCGGAAUUCCUGGUGUAGGAGUGAAAUCCGUAGAUAUCAGGAGGAACACCGGUGGCGAAGGCGGCCACCUGGACAGGUAUUGACGCUGAGGUGCGAAAGCGUGGGGAGCAAACAGG
rnacentral:rRNA from 1 species